rnacentral:lncRNA from 1 species
UAGGUUUGACAUUGUGUUCAUCAUUAUAUUACUUAUUAACUAAACAUAGUUAAUUACAGUAUGGUGCAAAAUGCACGACAAAUGGAAUACGAUGAAAAGAAAAAAGUAAAAGAAGAAGAUCAUAAGAUGUGGCUGUAAAUAUGUCUAUAAUAUUUGAGGUCCGAGACAAGAUCAAAAGACUUGUGCUUUUCAUUAAAAGUUGAAGAAUAAUGUACACAAUGUCCAAGACACUUGUCGAAUAUUUACCUGCAGCAAAGAGUUUUUUUUUUGUUUUGGGUCAAAGAGAAACUAGUUAAUUGGAGUGCUUAGCAAGGGUCAUUACAUAGAGUAGACGAGUAGUAUAGGGUUAUAAUGGAAUAAAUAUGAUAUUGAGUUCGAACUGGAAUGAAAAAUCAUGAUAGCUUUCAGUAUUACUCAUUUUCUUCUAGUUUAAUCAUUUGAUGAAACUCACUAUAUUUUUCUACCAAUAAUUUAAGUAAUUUCAGGGCUUGAAACUUGAGACUUACAAAAAUGAAUGGAUUCUAUCCAUCUCUCUAUAUCCCGUAAUGGUAUUAUUGUGUAUGUAUAAAAUAUUAAUUAGAAUAUAAUAACUUAUAAGAAUUAAAACUUCAAAUCCAUAUAUCUCAAACUCCGAUUUUGUCUUUAAUUUGAUCAUUAAGGCAUGGCAACAAGUUGACAAGAAGCGUUGAUGAGCAUAAAAUCUCAGUGAAUCCACUAGCAUUAAUAUAUAUAUAUAUAUAUAUAUAUUAAUGCUCUGAGUAUGUGACUAUAGUUGUGAGAUCAAGAGGAAAAUUGUUUGACCUAUAACAGCAAAUUCUAUGAAUUUUAAAAUUUUUAGGAUAAUGAAAUCAGCACGAUCUGAAACCAAAAGGACCGUCAUCACAUGGUAGAAUAUAUACUACAUAUAUUAAACUCAAUAUGAACUUACUGGAAUUGCAACGGUCGAUAGCAUAUAUAUCUCCAACUCCAAGCCUCUAGUGCUCAUUCUCACUAAAGAAUAUAAGGCACAAACGAAAUAUAUAAAUGCUAAAAUAAUAUAGAUAGGGAAAGUUUUACAUACUAUAUACGUAUAUCAAACUACGGUUUUGUAUGUAACUAGGAUACUAAGGCCUAACCUUCCACCAGAAUGGUGGCUUUUGAUUUAUUUAAAACAAAAAAAAAAAGGCUUAACGUACUUAGGGUUUUAGAUACUAAUUAGAGCUAGGAUUUUCGUAUAUAUAUAUAUAUAUAUAUAUAU